CAGCAGCCGCGGGAAUACAGAGGGUGCGAGCGUUAAUCGGAUUUACUGGGCGUAAAGCGUGCGUAGGCGGCUUUUUAAGUCGGAUGUGAAAUCCCUGAGCUUAACUUAGGGAUUGCAUUCGAUACUGGGAAGCUAGAGUAUGGGAGAGGAUGGUAGAAUUCCAGGUGUAGCGGUGAAAUGCGUAGAGAUCUGGAGGAAUACCGAUGGCGAAGGCAGCCAUCUGGCCUAAUACUGACGCUGAGGUACGAAAGCAUGGGGAGCAAACAGGAUUAGAUACCCCGGUAGUCCCUGUCUCUUAUAA
rnacentral:rRNA from 1 species